AUGUUGGGAGAGACCGGAAGGUUGCCGCUUGUUUCAAAUGCACGGAUUCAUUCAGGAACAAAACUAGUGAAUGUCUUUAUGAUGCUCUCAGAUGGGGGGAAAAAACCUCAACACUCAGAGAGUAGAAUGAUGUGGAUGAAAGGAGGGAAAGGAGGAGGAUGACGAUGAUUUAUUUGCAGUACUUCGAGGACACAAGUCAAUGUUUUUUGUUUUGUUUCUUGUUUGCUUUCAUAAUGGAGUGACCUAGUCUCCCGAGUCGCCAGAUGAGUAAGACUCGUGAUUGGUGAACGCCUGAAGGAAACAUAAACAAGGAAAGAAAAGCGAAAGGCUCACUCAUAAUAUUUUGAUAGGGUUUCUGGACAUUAACACUUGACUGCACUGAUUUGUCAACCAUGUCCCGAGGACAUGUGAGUGUGUGUUGGUUGUGCUGUUGCGAGGUCUUUAUAUGACUUAGAUAUGAGCUAAAGUGUACGAUAAAGAUACACUUUAUUAUCUAGCAUGAGGAAAUAUUUAUUAUGCACACAAUUUACUUAAUAAUUGCUCAAAUAAAUUCCAUUGUAUUAAUAUACAAUAUUUUUCCCCUUUACUUGAAAUGUAUUAUAAAGAAAACAGUUCCUUAUUUAUUUAUUUAUUUAAUUAUUUAUUCAUUAAUUCAUUCCCAAUUUAAAUGUUAACAUACAGGGUUACACCUUUUGGCCUACUGUUUUGGCCUACUAAUUGUACUAUGUAAUUCAUUUUAUUUUCAGUUUAUUUAUUUUCUUGUAUUUCUUCUCUUAUCCCAAACAUAAGUACAUUUUCAGCUCAAAAGUAACAUCCUGUCAUCAUUUACUCACCAUCAUGUCAUUUCAACUGACUUACUUUCUUCCGUUGAACAAGAAAGAUACAUUAUUGGUGAAUUGUUAGGUUUGUCAAAAUCCAAAAAACAUAGUACGAAUUAUAAGCAAAAAGUCUGAAUUCCAAGUUUAAAUCUUGCAGGUGUGUUUAUAUCUCACUAUUUCUGAUUCAUGAAUAUUUGACUCUUUUUUUUUUUAAAUGUUACAAUCUCCUUAUUUUCAUGUUUUGUACUGUGCCAGAAGUGAAAGUCGUGAAAGUGAAAGUCGUGACAUUUGCCAAGUAUGUUAACCCAUACUAAGAAUUGGUGCUUCGCAUUUAACCCAUCCAAGUGCACACACACAGCAGUGAGAAGUAAACACAUCCGGAGCAGUGGGCAGCUAUAGAUCCAGCGUCUGGGCAGCAACUGGGGGUUCAGUGCCUUGCUCAAGGGCACUUCAGUCAUGGGUAUUGAGGGUGGAAGAGUUCAUUAACUCCCUCCCACCUACAACUCCUGCCAGCACUGAGACUCGAACCAGCGACCUUCUAGUAACUAGUCCAAGUCUCUAACCAUUAGUCCACAGCUGCCCCAGAAACAGAUUUCCAUAAAAUUAAAAAGGAAAUUGAUUUUUUUUUUCAAGGGAAAUAAAAGCACACCACUAACUAUUCCCUCUAAAAUCAUUAUUUUUUCCAUCAAUGCUUCUGUUUUAUUCUGCUUUUUGAGGACACAAAGCUUUCAGUUUAAUUGUUCAAAUACUAGUGUCAAAAUCCAUUAGUUUUGAUCCUAAUAUUUUGGCACAGUGGUACAUCCAGACUCUGUGCUUUACUAACCAGACAAUAUUUAUUCAAAACCAGCAAAUUCCCAUUCUUAGUCAUCUGCCCUGGGCUCCUAAGGGGAAACUCUCUGUGAAAAACAGGAAAAUUAUGGAAGAGUUCAAAGAGAAUCUUGAAUCUUUCUAACAGUUAGGCUUCCCAUGAGCAUGGAGCGCAUUCGUAAAACAGCUUCAUUAUAGUGAAAAACUAUUUAGUCAUGAUUAAUGUCUCCAUCUUUUUAUUAUUCUUCUGAUCUCAGCCUUGUUUUGACGAUAAAGUCCACUCUUAUCAUUAGGUCACACACCUCUACGACGAACAGAAAAUUUGCUUUUGUCUGCAGCCAAGUUUAAACAGAAGAAAAACUUGAUGUACAUUCAACUUCUGGCACUUUUCCCAGAAGUAGAUUUUUAUUCAAAUUAACGUAUUUCAGCAUUCUUCUUUUUUGUUAUAAAACUAUUAUAUCAUUG
ensembl:lncRNA